UACGGAGGGUGCAAGCGUUAUCCGGAUUCACUGGGUUUGAAGGGUGCGUAGGUGGGCAGGUAAGUCAGUGGUGAAAUCUCCGGGCUUAACCCGGAAACUGCCGUUGAUACUAUUUGUCUUGAAUAUUGUGGAGGUAAGCGGAAUAUGUCAUGUAGCGGUGAAAUGCUUAGAUAUGACAUAGAACACCAAUUGCGAAGGCAGCUUACUACACAACGAUUGACGCUGAGGCACGAAAGCGUGGGGAUCAAACAGG
rnacentral:rRNA from 1 species